CAACUACUCCCUCUGUCCAAAAUUUCUUGUCUUAGAUUUGUCUACAUACGGAUGUAUCUAAUACUAAAAUGUGACUUGAUACAUCUGUAUCUAGACAAAUCUAAGACAAGAAUUUUGGGACGGAGGGAGUACUUU
rnacentral:pre_miRNA from 1 species